AGAUUAGAGUUCAAAACUCUGCUCAUUGGAAUCACCAGGAGGGCUAGUUAGAAGGCAGAUUACCAUGUCCUGGUGUAGAAAAUUCUGACUCAGGAAGUCUCAGGAUAAUUCCAUGAAUAUAUAACCCAAGUGCUUCCGGUGCAGAACGUCGGAAGCCUGACUUUUGGGAAUCCUUAGCCUUCAAGUUGACUCCAUAUUUUGAAGGCUAUAUCAUGUUGCUGAGAUGUCCUAUGUUGCAGAGUAGGUGGACCUGCUGAGCAAGUAGCUGUGUCUCUUUGCAAUUACUGAUGAGUUUGUUUUACAAAAAGAACACAAAGAUGCCAAGAUAUAUUGUUAUUGUAAAAUCCUGAGAGUGUGAGGACAGGGAAAAUAAGUGGAGACUGACUUAAGUUUUACAAAUGGGAGCAGCAUUCCUGAGCAAAGUUAAGCUAGGAAGCCAAUCACCAUCCAUCUCCAUACAAAGCAAAAUUCAAUCAAAAGCAAAAGUAUAUUAAAAAGAAGAUUAGCCCUGAGCUAACAUCUGCUGCCAAUCCUCCUCUUUUUGCUGAGGAAGACUGGCCCGCAGCUAAUAUUCAUGCCCAUCUACCUCCACUUUAUAUGUGGGACACCUACCACAGCAUGGCUUACCAAGUGCUGCCAUGUCCACACCAGAGAUCUGAACUGGCGAACUCCGGGCCACAGAAGCAAAACAUAUGCACUUAACCUCUGAGCCACCAGGCUGGCUCCACUAUUCUGUUUCUUGAUGUUACAAUAAAUAUCUUUUCAUUAAGAAGGAAUAAUUGGCUUCAAGCCCAGAAGAAAUACUCUAGUUUCCAAGUCCUAUCACUUUUAUAAUGACCUCAUGAUCUCUCAUACAUUCAGUGAAAUCUCUGCAUUAGUUUCCAUGAAGCCAGAAGCCCAGGAGCAAUGGCGGAGUGGGGCUGUCUGAAACCCCGUCUCUUUCUGUGAUACAGAUCCUAGCUCGGCUCAAUGUCUGCUCUUUUCAGUUCAUACCAAAACAGAUGGAGAAAGAUAGGGGGGAAAUGAUUAUACGUAUAUCUAGAACGUUAAUAUAAGAAAACUUAAAGAAGUUUAGUAUAAACAUUAUUAUCAAGUGAACAUAUAUAGAGAAAAAUAACAGCUUUCCUUAAUAUCACAUAAACAAAAAUAUGGUUAGCACAUUUCCCAAAGCCACAAGCCAAAAACAUGGUUACUUGAUUUAUUUAAUAAAAUAUCUUGCAAGUGUCUAGGCUUUAAAUCAAGAUUAUGUUAUGGAUAGAUCUAUACCUUUAGUGAGCUCGAAACCUAGUAGGAGAGAGAAACAUACAAACACCAUAUAAAAAAUGCUAUAA
rnacentral:lncRNA from 1 species